rnacentral:rRNA from 1 species
UACGUAGGGGGCGAGCGUUGUCCGGAUUUAUUGGGCGUAAAGGGCUUGUAGGUGGAUGCUUAAGUCAGAUGUGAAAUACCCGGGCUCAACCUGGGAACUGCAUUUGAAACUGGGCGACUAGAGUGCAGGAGAGGAAAGCGGAAUUCCUAGUGUAGCGGUGAAAUGCGUAGAUAUUAGGAAGAACACCAGUGGCGAAGGCGGCGUUCUGGACUGUAACUGACGCUGAGGCUCGAAAGCGUGGGGAGCAAACAGG